UAGUGAGUUUGAUCCUGGCUCAGAGCGAACGCUGGCGGCAGGCCUAAUACAUGCAAGUCGAACGGCUCUUCGGAGCAGUGGCGGACGGGUGAGUAACGCGUGGGAACGUGCCCUUUGGUUCGGAACAACACAGGGAAACUUGUGCUAAUACCGAAUGUGCCCUUCGGGGAAAGAUUUAUCGCCAUUGGAGCGGCCCGCGUUGGAUUAGCUAGUUGGUGGGGUAAAGGCCCACCAAGGCUACGAUCCAUAGCUGGUCUGAGAGGAUGAUCAGCCACACUGGGACUGAGACACGGCCCAGACUCCUACGGGAGGCAGCAGUAGGGGAAUCUUGCGCAAUGGGGCGAAAGCCUGACGCAGCCAUGCCGCGUGAAUGAUGAAGGUCUU
rnacentral:rRNA from 1 species